rnacentral:tRNA from 1 species
UGUAGUUCAGUGGUAGAGCACUUGCCUUGCAUGCAUGAGGCCCUGAGUUCAAUCCUCAGCA